rnacentral:rRNA from 1 species
GGUUAAGUUAAUAAGGGCGCACGGUGAAUGCCUUGGCACUAGGAGUCGACGAAGGACGGCACUAACACCGAUAUGCUUCGGGGAGCUGUAAGUGAGCUUU